rnacentral:lncRNA from 1 species
AGAGCAGCGCGCGGGGCAGACCUCCUCGGGUCCUCCGGCGCUUCGGUCUCCGGAGACGCCCGGCCUCCUGAAGGGUUCGGCUUGUCCUCCUCUGGCGCUCAGCUCCCUCUGGCGGCCGGGCUGGCAGGACCUCAGCGCCCAGCCCUUCCGUCUUGUUACGUCCAGGGUCUCACUCUGUGUCUCAGGCUGGAGUACAGUGGUGCAAUUGUAGAUGGCUGCAGCCCUCGACCUCCUGGGCUCAAGUGAUCCUCCUGCCUUAGCCUCUCGAGUAGCUGGGAGUACAGAUGCACACCACCACACCCAGCCUAGAAUGAAGAAACCUGCAGUUGGGAAGCAUGAAUUUACCACCUAUUAAGAUCUGGCUGCUGUGUGGAGAAAGAGUGAAGAUACGGAAGUUGGAGGUUCUCGUAGCAAUGCAGAAUUGUGGCUUGCAUUGUAAGAGGAGCCUGUGAAUUCAGAGGCAAGUCUGCUGAGGACCGAAUGUUCCUGUCCAUAAAAACAGAAGUCUGGCCUGGGCUCCUCUCUUGGGUGAAUUUGCAAUGCCAGAUCCUCUCUAUCAGUUUGGUUUUGUUUCUUGUAUCUCUGGGAAGGCAGGCAGACAGCACGGUCACCUGUGAAUGCAGCUACAAUUGGCUUAGCUGCCUCACUGAUAAAUGUGCCCCCAGUAAGCUACAAAGGGAUUACCAGCGUUCUCAGCAGCUAAAGGAACUGGUGAAGAUUUCCCCAGCAAAAAGUAGAAGCUCAGUGUUUCAUAGAUGAAGACUGGGGAGAUUGCAAAAGACCCAUCCAGCAGUGGUUCUCAGACCUCAGUGUGCAUCAGAAUCACCUGGAAGGCUUGUGAAAACACGUAUUGCUGGGCCACACCCCCAGAAUUUCUGGAUCAGUAAAGCUGGGAUUCUUACUUUGAGUAGCCAACUUGCAGAAUACAAUAGAAUUUUGGGAGGAGCCCCUCGAUGCCUGGCUUUACUGUUGGAGAGACAGUACAGUAUACACCAGAUGACUUAUUUGUGAACCAUGGAAACGUUUGGAAAAGAGUCUCACUUUGUCGCCCAGGCUGGAGUACAGUGGUGCGAUCUUGGCUCUCUGCAACCUCUGCCUCCCAGGUUCAAGUAAUUCUCCUGCCUCAGCCUCCCGAGUAGCUGGUACUACAGGCACACAUUUGUAGAGAUGGUGUUUCCCCAUGUCAUCCAGGCUGGUCUGGAACUCCUGGGAUCAAGUAAUCCACCCGCCUCGGCCUCCCAAAGUGCUGGGAUUACAGACGUGAGCCACCACGCCCUGCCAAUAAAAAGAUUAUCUCCAGA